AAAGAAUAAAUAUUUUAUAUUUAUAAUCGUUCUUAUUUAAAGAUUUUUUGAUUGAUCUUAGAUUUAAUUUAUAGAAACAAAAAUAAUAAUAAUAAAAAAAAAUUUCUAAUGUUGGGAAAUUUACUAUCAUUGCUGAGUGGUUAUGCAGUUGGUGGUGUGAUGGGUGUUUAUUUAGCACAGAACUAUGAGAUACCCGACGUAAAUGCUGCAUUGACGUCUCUUUUGAACAAAGUAUCAAGUUAUGAGAAAUCUGAUCCAAA
rnacentral:misc_RNA from 1 species